UGUUAUGCUUAUCUGACAGAAGGUUUGUUGAUUUCAAGUCACUAGGAACAGUGCCUCCAAAAUUAAAAUUCACUCUCCAACUGAGCAGCACACACUAGCUCAAGGCAAUUAAAUAGACUGCUUCUUUCCUUCUAGCGGUAGAGUCAGCUCUGUUUGCCUGUCACUGGGCUCAAGGAAUUACAAAGUAUAAAGAGUUACAGUAGCAAUUCCAAAAUACAAAGAGUUACGGCUGGGCAUGGUGGCUCACACCUGUAAUCCCACUACUCAGGAGGCUGAAGCAGGAAAAACGCUUGAACCCAGGAGGCAGAGGUAGCAGUGAGCCAAGAUCACGCCGAGCCGAGAUCAUGCCAUUGUACUCCAGCCUGGGCAACAAGAGCAAAACUCCAUCUCAAAAAAA
ensembl:lncRNA GK-IT1 GK intronic transcript 1